CACGUAGGCACCAGGCGUUGUCCGGAUUUAUUGGGCGUAAAGAGCUCGUAGGCGGUUCGGUAAGUCGGGUGUGAAAACUUUGGGCUCAACCCAAAGCCUGCACUCGAUACUGCUGUGACUUGAGUCCGGUAGGGGAGUGGGGAAUUCCUGGUGUAGCGGUGGAAUGCGCAGAUAUCAGGAGGAACACCGGUGGCGAAGGCGGCAGACUGGACAGUUAUUGACACUAAACUACGAAAGCGUGGGGAGCAAACAGG
rnacentral:rRNA from 1 species